rnacentral:misc_RNA from 1 species
CAACCACCACCUAUGAAUUAAAUAGCAGGCAAUCAAAAAUUAUUCCACAGGACAUCCUAGAUAAAAUCAGGGAAAAAAGAAAAGCGAAAGCAAAAUGGCAAAAACAGAGAACACGAGAAAACAAGAAAAACCUAAAUAAACUUACAAAGGAAUUAAAGAAUAAAAUAAGGGAACAUCAUAAUAACGAAUUCUCAAAAUUCAUUGAAUCACUAUCCGCGCAUGAGAAUACCAACUACUCCCUAUGGAAAGUCACUAACAAAGUCAAGAAAACAAUAAAAUCAAUUCCAGCAAUCAGAAAAAUGGACAACACAUGGGCGAAAGGCAACGAAGAGCAGGCAGAAGAAUUUUCGAAGCACCUACAAAAUACAUUUUCACCGUACGAAAUUAAUAACAGCAUCCCCAGAUGGCAAACAAAUAAAGAAGUGGAAAAUGCCAGCAAUACAACUGACAAACGCUGCACCAUACUUAGCACAACAGCGCAAGAAGUUACAAACUUAAUUAAGGCAACAAAGACAAGUAAAGCACCAGGAUUUCACUUGAUCAAUGGAAAAAUCUUAAAAAACCUUACCCCAAAGGCAAUAAGACUAACAACGAUAAUAUUCAACGCAAUUCUAAGAAUACAGUACUUUCCUGCACUAUGGAAAAUAGCACAGACUGUAAUGUUACCCAAACCAAACAAAAACUCACAUCUAACUGCAUCCUACAGGCCAAUAUCAUUAAUACCUGCGUUUUUCAAAUUACUAGAAAAAAUAAUAUAUAACCGCCUAAAACCAACAAUAGAAAAAGAAAAACUAAUACCGAACCAUCAAUUUGGAUUCAGGAAUAAACACUCCAUAAUAGAACAAAUGCACGGACUCGUCAACGAAAUCUUACAGGCGCAGGAAACAAAACAAUAUUGCACGGCACUCUUUAUGGACAUCGAAAAAGCAUUCGAUAAAGUAUGGCAUGAAGGGCUACUAUACAAGCGUAAAAAGAUCCUACCCCACCCAUACUACUCCAUCUUAAAAUCCUACCUAACCAACAGACAAUUCAUAGUUAAAUGCC